GAGUUUGAUCCUGGCUCAGAACGAACGCUGGCGGCGUGCUUAACACAUGCAAGUCGAACGUGAUCCGGAGCUUGCUCCGGUGAAAGUGGCGCACGGGUGAGUAACGYGUGGAUAWUCUGCCCUGGUAUCUGGGAUAACAUCUCGAAAGGGGUGCUAAUACCAGAUAAGCCUACGGACUCUUCGGAGUCYGCAGGAAAAGGUGGCCUCUAUUUAUAAGCUWCCGUAUCAGGAUGAGUCCGCGUACCAUUAGCUAGUUGGUGGGGUAAUGGCCCMCCAAGGCUMCGAKGGUUAGCUGGUCUGAGAGGAUGAUCAGCCACACUGGAACUGAGACACGGUCCAGACUCCUACGGGAGGCAGCAGUGGKGAAUUUUGCGCAAUGGGGGAAACCCUGACGCAKCAACGCCGCGUGAGUGAUGAAGGCUUUCGGGUCGUAAAGCUCKGUCAGAGGGGAAGAAAUGAGACUGGCUAAUAUCCAGUUUUCUUGACGGUACCCUCAAAGGAAGCACCGGCUAACUACGUACCAGCAGCCGCGGUAAUAC
rnacentral:rRNA from 1 species